rnacentral:rRNA from 1 species
GACGGUAGGGCGCGAGCGUUGUCCGGAUUUAUUGGGCGUAAAGAGCUCGUAGGCGGCUUGUUGCGUCGGCCGUGAAAACCCGCGGCUUAACCGUGGGCUUGCAGCCGAUACGGGCAGGCUAGAGUUCGGGUAGGGGAGACUGGAAUUCCUGGUGUAGCGGUGAAAUGCGCAGAUAUCAGGAGGAACACCGGUGGCGAAGGCGGGUCUCUGGGCCGAUACUGACGCUGAGGAGCGAAAGCGUGGGGAGCGAACAGG